CAACACCAUGAAUCCAAGAUUAUCGACUAUCAUAUGGUUGACAAAUUUAUGAGCGGCAAACUUUAUACAUCAAAAGGUGUAACCUUUCAUAAACAUGCAAAGUAUUACUCUUAAUUAAAUUAAAAUUCACAAAACAUCAAAUUUCCAUAUAUCCAUAUAGUACUAGAUUAAUAAUUGAUAUAUCUAUUCUAUAAUACAAAUUAUUUAAUAAGGUAACAACUUCUUAUAAAUUGAAUAGGAGGUAGUAUUUUGUUAUUGCCCACUGGUCACUACUAGUUAUGUUUGUCACCUUUUCCAUCGCUAAUAUUUGACCCACCGCUCGUUGUUCUGAGAUUUCAAACACACAAAAAUAAUUAUGGAAAAUCAUUAAUGAGAGUAUUUUUAAAAAAAUAACAUUAAAUAAAGUUAAUUUUAAUAUCCUACAAAAAAAAAAGUUAAUUUUAGUAACAUUUGUUUAUAUUUGAAGCUAAAUUUUUUUGUUAACACUUUUACUCAUAAAUAAGGUCGGAGAGAGUACCAAAAAAGUAAAAGGUUGGAGAGAGUAUUUUGUUGUUGAAAUAAGUUUUGUGUGUGUGUGUAUAUUCAUUAUAUUUAAAAAUUUGAUGAAAUUAAAACGUACUGUAGUGAUGAAAUUAAUAAGUUUUGUGCUAAGGUUUGACGAGAAGAAAUAAAUUAAAAGAAAGAAGUUAUAAUUACGUACGUGAAUGUGGAUCUAACUUGUCUUAACAUGGAAUUCAACAUUUGAAUUGUGUU
rnacentral:lncRNA from 1 species